UUUAUUGGAGAGUUUGAUCCUGGCUCAGGAUGAACGCUGGCGGCGUGCCUAAUACAUGCAAGUCGAGCGAAUGGAUUAAGAGCUUGCUCUUAUGAAGUUAGCGGCGGACGGGUGAGUAACACGUGGGUAACCUGCCCAUAAGACUGGGAUAACUCCGGGAAACCGGGGCUAAUACCGGAUAACAUUUUGAACCGCAUGGUUCGAAAUUGAAAGGCGGCUUCGGCUGUCACUUAUGGAUGGACCCGCGUCGCAUUAGCUAGUUGGUGAGGUAACGGCUCACCAAGGCAACGAUGCGUAGCCGACCUGAGAGGGUGAUCGGCCACACUGGGACUGAGACACGGCCCAGACUCCUACGGGAGGCAGCAGUAGGGAAUCUUCCGCAAUGGACGAAAGUCUGACGGAGCAACGCCGCGUGAGUGAUGAAGGCUUUCGGGUCGUAAA
rnacentral:rRNA from 1 species